rnacentral:rRNA from 1 species
GACAGAGGCCUCGAGCGUUAGGCGGAAUCACUGGGCUUAAAGCGUGUGUAGGCGGGCCCGUAAGUACCUUGUGAAAUCCCACGGCUCAACCGUGGAACGGCUGGGUAUACUGCGGGUCUUGGGCCAACUAGGGGCAGCCGGAACAAGCGGUGGAGCGGUGAAAUGCGUAGAUAUCGCUUGGAACGCCGAAGGUGAAAACAGGCUGCUGGGGUUGCGCCGACGCUGAGACACGAAAGCCAGGGGAGCAAACGGG